rfam:Bombyx mori DNA, contig: Bm_scaf21_contig14782, strain: p50T/Dazao, build 2, whole genome shotgun sequence.
UUAACUCAAAUUGGUAUGCAGUUGGAACAGCACCCCUAGCGGCAAACGUAGGCAAACGUUCCAACUCUAUACAAAUUUUACGCUA